GAUGAACGCUGGCGGCGUGCUUAACACAUGCAAGUCGAACGAUGAUGCCCGUGCUUGCACGGGUGGAUUAGUGGCGAACGGGUGAGUAUCACGUGAGUAACCUGCCCUUGACUCUGGGAUAAGCCUGGGAAACUGGGUCUAAUACUGGAUAUGACCGGCCUCCGCAUGGGGUGCUGGUGGAAAGCUUUUUUGCGGUUUUGGAUGGACUCGCGGCCUAUCAGUUUGACGGUGGGGUAGUGGCCUACCGUGGCUUUGACGGGUAACCGGCCUGAGAGGGUGACCGGUCACACUGGGACUGAGACACGGCCCAGACUCCUACGGGAGGCAGCAGUGGGGAAUAUUGCACAAUGGGCGCAAGCCUGAUGCAGCGACGCCGCGUGCGGGAUGACUGCCUUCGGGUUGUAAACCGCUUUCAGCACAGAACAAGGAAUCAUUUGUGUGGUCUUGAGGGUAUGUGCAGAAGAAGCACCGGCUAACUAUGUGCCAGCCGCCGCAGUAACAC
rnacentral:rRNA from 1 species